rnacentral:rRNA from 1 species
UGGGGAAUUUUGGACAAUGGGCGCAAGCCUGAUCCAGCAAUGCCGCGUGCAGGAUGAAGGCCUUCGGGUUGUAAACUGCUUUUGUACGGAGCGAAAAGGUCUGCCCUAAUACGGUGGGCUCAUGACGGUACCUGAAGAAUAAGCACCGGCUAACUACGUGCCAGCAGCCGCGGUAAUACGUAGGGUGCAAGCGUUAAUCGGAAUUACUGGGCGUAAAGCGUGCGUAGGCGGUUAUGCAAGACAGAGGUGAAAUCCCCGGGCUCAACCUGGGACCUGCAUUUGUGACUGUAUAGCUAGAGUACGGUAGAGGGGGAUGGAAUUCCGCGUGUAGCAGUGAAAUGCGUAGAUAUGCGGAGGAACACCGAUGGCGAAGGCAAUCCCCUGGACCUGUACUGACGCUCAUGCACGAAAGCGUGGGGAGCAAACA